rnacentral:rRNA from 1 species
AUUGAACGCUGGCGGCAGGCCUAACACAUGCAAGUCGAACGAGUGGCGGACGGGUGAGUAAUGUCUGGGAAACUGCCUGAUGGAGGGGGAUAACUACUGGAAACGGUAGCUAAUACCGCAUACCAUCGGAUGUGCCCAGAUGGGAUUAGCUAGGAGGUGGGGUAACGGCUCACCUAGGCGACGAUCCCUCGCUGGUCUGAGAGGAGGACCAGCAACACUGGAACUGAGACACGGUCCAGACUCCUACGGGAGGCAGCAGUGGGGAAUAUUGCACAAGGGGCGCAAGCCUGAUGCAGCCAUGCCGCGUGUAUGAAGAAGGCCUUCGGGGUGUAAAGUACUUUCAGCGGGGAGGCGGGACCCGAAGAAGAAGCACCGGCUAACUCCGUGCCAGCCGCCGCGGUAAUUG